rnacentral:rRNA from 1 species
GACGAACGCUGGCGGCGUGCUUAACACAUGCAAGUCGAACGGAAAGGCCCUGCUUUUGUGGGGUGCUCGAGUGGCGAACGGGUGAGUAACACGUGAGUAACCUGCCCUUGACUUUGGGAUAACUUCAGGAAACUGGGGCUAAUACCGGAUAGGAGCUCCUGCUGCAUGGUGGGGGUUGGAAAGUUUCGGCGGUUGGGGAUGGACUCGCGGCUUAUCAGCUUGUUGGUGGGGUAGUGGCUUACCAAGGCUUUGACGGGUAGCCGGCCUGAGAGGGUGACCGGCCACAUCGGGACUGAGAUACGGCCCAGACUCCUACGGGAGGCAGCAGUGGGGAAUAUUGCACAAUGGGCGGAAGCCUGAUGCAGCAACGCCGCGUGCGGGAUGACGGCCUUCGGGUUGUAAACCGCUUUCGCCUGUGACGAAGCGUGAGUGACGGUAAUGGGUAAAGAAGCACCAGCUAACUACGUG